rnacentral:rRNA from 1 species
AUGGCGCAGCGGCUCCAAGAUGAACUCCUGGAGGAGAUCUUCCUCCGCCUACCCACGGCCGCCGAUCUCGCCCGAGCCUCCACGGCCUGCGUCUCCUUCCGCCGCGUCGUCGCCGCCCACCCCUUCCUCCGCCGAUUUCGCACCCUCCACCCGCCGCCUCUCCUCGGCAUCAUCUGCGGCGGCUUCACCCCGGCCCAGCCACCCCACCCUUCCGCCGCCGCGGCAGCCACCCUUGCCGAUGUCAACUUGUCGUGCGCCAUUCUCCUCCCCCCGUCCCGCGACCGCUGGUGCCGCCGCGACGACCGCGACGGCCGCGCCCUUUACUCCCCCGAACGCGAGGGGCCCGGCGUCGACUACAACCGCCCGGGCCUGGUUAGGGCGUUCGCUGUCUGCGACCCGCUGCACCGGCGCUACCUGCUUCUGCCCGCCCUCCCCGACCAUCUCGCCGGUCAAGUCCGUCCGCCCGACAUCUUGAAAUGCGAGUCCUUCCUUGCUCCUCCUGGCGACGACGAGAACUCAUCAUUCAGAGACUUCAGAGUGAUGUGCUUAGUGUGGUGCACAACCAAGCUCGUCCUCUUUGUCUUCUCUUCUUGCACAGGGCAAUGGCUCCCUGAUCCUGUUACAUUUGAUGUGUUACCGCACUCGGGUGCGCUUAGGCGGCACUAUGCCCAUGGAUGCUUCUGUUGGCAUAAUUAUGAGGCUGACAACUUGCUCGUGCUCGACACACGCAGGAUGGAGUUCUCCGUCGUUGACCUCCCGCUUCCGCCUUGCCCUCAUCUGGGCUACUUAGCCGCUUGUCUGCGGGAGAUGGCCAUUGUGGAGGCAGGAGAAGGAAGACUCGGGAUGUUUACCGUCUCUGAGCCUGGUGUGUAUUAUCUCUUGUAUGAAGAGCAGUCUAAGGAUGAGAACGGCGCAAACCAGUGGCAGUCUAAGUCUGUGAUCUCUUUGCCGGCAAAUUAUUCCUAUGGCAUCGACGGUGUAGCUGGUGGAUACUUACUCCUACACGGGUCACGUAAGCAUACACAAGUAGUAGACUAUUUUUCAUUGAAUCUACAGACUUUCCAGAUUGAGCGGUUCUGUCAGACUGAUUGUCAAAUAGUUGGCACACUGUAUGCCGGUCUCCCACCGUCUUUGUGCCCACCAACUAUUUGA